CGGCCUGUAGCUCAGGGGUUAGAGCACCGUUCUUAUAAAGCGGGGGUCCUGGGUUCAAAUCCCAGCAGGCCGA
rnacentral:tRNA from 1 species